UGAAAAGAACUUUGGAGAGAGAGUCAAAAAGACCGCGAAACCGUUAGGAGGGAAACGAAUGCAGCUAAAUUAGCUUUGUUUCAGGCUCAGGAGGAUGUUGGGUUUCGAUGCCAGCUGUCAAAAGCCGAUAGGUUUUGACUGUUGGAUAGUGUUCAACUCCUCUGCAUUCCUGUGCACAAGCUAGCCAACAACAGUUGUCUGUGGCUGAUGAGGGCAGGUGGGUAGGUAGUUCACUGAAAUUCAGAGAAAACGUAUAGCCAUCUGUCUGGAAGUCUGCGGAUGACUGAGGAAAACUGGUAGCACAGGCCCUCUGGGUUUGGGCCGCUUCUGGUCGUUCUGGGUACCACUUGUGGGACUGCUUGCAGUGCCAUUCGAUGGUUGUCUGCUCGAGCGGGAGACUGGUCACACCUUGUGCUGUAGUGUUGGU
rnacentral:rRNA from 1 species